rnacentral:rRNA from 1 species
GACGAACCGUGCGGACGUUGUUCGGAAUCACUGGGCUUAAAGGGCGCGUAGGCGGGCUGACAAGUCUGGGGUGAAAUGCCGCGGCUCAACCGUGGAACUGCCUUAGAUACUGUCGGCCUCGAGGAAGGUAGGGGCAUGCGGAACUGUAGGUGGAGCGGUGAAAUGCGUUGAUAUCUACAGGAACUCCGGUGGCGAAAGCGGCGUGCUGGACCUUUUCUGACGCUGAGGCGCGAAAGCUAGGGGAGCAAACGGG